rnacentral:rRNA from 1 species
ACUCCUACGGGAGGCAGCAGUGGGGAAUAUUGCACAAUGGGCGCAAGCCUGAUGCAGCCAUGCCGCGUGUAUGAAGAAGGCCUUCGGGUUGUAAAGUACUUUCAGCAGUGAGGAAGGUGGGUAUGUUAAUAGCAUAUUCAUUUGACGUUAGCUGCAGAAGAAGCACCGGCUAACUCCGUGCCAGCAGCCGCGGUAAUACGGAGGGUGCGAGCGUUAAUCGGAAUUACUGGGCGUAAAGCGCAUGCAGGUGGUUUGUUAAGUCAGAUGUGAAAGCCCGGGGCUCAACCUCGGAAUUGCAUUUGAAACUGGCAAACUAGAGUACUGUAGAGGGGGGUAGAAUUUCAGGUGUAGCGGUAGAAAUGCGUAGAGAUCUAGAAGGAAUACCGGUGGCGAAGGCGGCCCCCUGGACAGAUACUGACACUCAGAUAGCGAAAGCGUGGGGAGCAAACAGGAUUAGAUACCCUGGUAGGCUACUGC